CGUGAUUUAUUUUAAUACAAGUUGUUAGGUAAUAUAUGCUAAGUGUAAGUAAAGAAAAUAAAAAACGCAAACCAAUAGAGUCACAAGGCUGGACCUCGAGUUGGUUGGAGCAGGCUUCGACGUUUAGAUGUGGCUAAUAGCAAUGAAUAAUUGAUGAAGAAUCAAUAAUAAUGAGGGCCUGAAAGAUGACCUUUUGAGGUUAAUAAUGAGCAAUAAAUGAUGAACAAUGAAAUAGUAAGCGAUAAAUGUGUACAACAAUUGCUUAAGCAAAGAGCAAAGAAUAUUGUAUUGUAUUCAAUAUGUUGUGUAAUAAUCUGAAUUCCCUUACAAGAUGUGAAGGGUCCCCUUUAUAUAGAAGGGAGGAGGGAUUCUAACAUAGUACAUGUCUAAAAAUGAUGGGAAAAGGCUAUUGGUACAGCUGUAUAAUGGCUUAGUACGGAUUGAUACUAUUCUUGCAGACCUUGUCAGCUCUAGCCAUGUAUUCUGGGGAAUUUUUCCGCCUUUCUAUGACGAUCAUCGACUUGUACUGUUUUGAGAUUGACCUUUGAUGUGCUCCCUCGAGGGAUGUACCUCGGGAUCAUACUUUAAAUUGAACCUUCGAGCUCCUCGAAAUUGGACAUACAAUGCUACAACAACCCUAAAAUGCAACUCUUCCGAUUUUGGCCAUAUACAUAAAUACAUUAAUACACGGCCAAAAGGGAAGAAAGAGAAAAGGAAGCUGACGACAAGAAGUAAAGAAUAAGAGAAAGUUCUGGUAAAAAUGGAUAUAUAUAUAUAUAUAAAUACAAAAUUUUAGCCAAUCUAACGGGUAACGAUGCUCCCAAUCUUAACACAUCGGUCCGCCUAUUAUUUUUCGGAUUGAAAUCUGAAAAGUAUGAAACCCAACCCAUCAUGGACUAGUACCGGGGUUUCUUUUAUUUCCCCGCCAGUACUGUUUUCUAGUCCCUAAUUUAUACUAUUAUAUAAGGACUUAAUUUGUAACUAUUGCAGUUAAAUUGCUUAAUUUUAUCUAAAUAUUUUUGUCAACCGGUUUUCUCCUCAUUUCCUUUAUUUUUUGUAUUUCUUUGGUUAACGUACAUGUUUACCCGAAAAAUAAUACAGUUAAAUUUGUUACAUAGUUUAUUGAAAAAUGAGCUCAUUUGAUCCAAAAAUAAUUUAAAAAAUAAGAUUAAAAACAAAAUUUAGCAAUUGACAUUGAAGAAGAUAACAAGCCUAACUCCGAGCGUAAUACCUCCGAGGACAAAAGUGAAAGUAAUGAUAAAGUAUGAAUACAGUUGUUUAAUUGAGAGUAAAAGUUAAUUAUAGCUUAUGACUGCAAAAAAAAUUAUGUCCUCACAGUAGUUGCUGAGCUUGCUAUUUAUAGUUUUAUCUUGGGAAACAAGAUACUAGGAUCAAACACCUCUUAAAGGAUAAUAAAAGAGUCACUGAUGAAUAUGUAAUGGCAAGCCAUGAAUGAAAAUAUUACCUACAACAAUCGCUCAUUUAUGUUUUAGAACUCGAUUUCGCAUUCUGAGGCCUUCAAAACCUUAUUUUACUCCUCCUCAAUUUGCGUGCACAGUCCAGGCACGUUUCCGAAAAGCCUUUAUGUAGAAAUUUGAGGAAGAAUUAUAAUUUUUACCUUUAAAAGUUGAUUUUAGUUGACUUCGGUCAACGCUUUUUGUAAACGGAUACAGUCCCAUAUUUUGAUGGUAUGGAUGAGCCCGUAGUAAAAUAUGUGACCUCAUUGAUGGGUCUGUAUUUUGGGUCCGGAGCUCGGUAUAGGUUUAAAAUAACAUUUAACUCAUGUCUGUGAAAUUUAGUAAAAAUACGAGUUGAUUUGACGAGAGUCGGGCAUCCACUGAGAAAAGAGGAAUUUCAAAGUGUUCCUAAGAAUGUUAUGUGUUUUAGUAUUAAAUCCAUAGUUUUAGAUAUUAUUUGGCAAUUUGAUCGCACGAGCAAGUUCGUAUGAUGUUUUAAAACUUAUGUGCUUGUUUGAUUUGGAGCCCCCAGGGCUCAGGUGAGUUUCGGAUAGGCUACGGAGUGAAUUGGACUUACAAAAAUUUGUUGGUAUACUUCAGGACUGGGGGUCUCGCGUUUGCUAGGUCAAGCUCGCAAAUACAAGCCUCGUAUUUGCGAAGAAUAUUUGCAUUUGAAAGCAUGGGAGGGGAAUGGGUUGUUCGCAUUUGCGGAAGUCCAUAUUCGCAUUUGCGACUGGAACUUCACAUUUACGAAGGCUGCAGGAAUCCGAGAGGUUUGCAAUUGUGAUGCUUUUUCGUAUUUGCGAGCUUCGCAAAUGCGAAGUUCAGGUCGUAACUGCGACAUCUGCAGCUGAUAAGUCUUGACUUAGACGGGAUUUUCAUUUGUUCUCCCAUUUUUCAAAACCUAGAACACAAGAGGCGAUUUUUCCAAAGAAUUUUUCUUUCCCAAAUCAUAAGUAAGUAAUUCUUAACUAGUUACUUUCAAUCUUUUACAGGAUUUCAUCCUAGAAUCUAGUAUUUUUCAUGGUGGAAUUGGAAAUUAAUGGGAAGAAAUUAGAAAUUUCGAAAUUUUUGAAUUUAGACCUCAAACUAAGGUCAGAUUCCAAAACUAAUUGUAUAUCCAGGCUCGAGGUGAAUGAUAAUCGGAAUUUAGUUCAUAUUUGGAGUUUUGACCAAGCGCGCUCAUGGACAAUUUUUGACUUUUUGAAGAAAAUGUUGAGAAACUUAUAAUUAUGUAUUGGAAUUGAUUUCUUUAGCGAUAGUUGAUGUUAUUAAGUACUAUUAUGACUGGAUACGAGUGCGUCGGAGGUAGAAACUAGAGGAAAUACGGUAAUUGAGUGUUGAGUUGGUCGUGGAUUAAGGUAAGUGUUGUGUCUAACUUUGACUUGAGGGACUAGGGAUCCCCGGCUUAAUUGCUAUAGGAAAAUCUGGCGUAUAGGUGAGGUGACGAGUAUCUAUGCGCUGCCAAAUUAUCUGUUUUGCGUGUUUCUUUCCCCGUUCUUAAUAUAUUAUCUUCCUGUCUUAAGUUCUACAUGCUCAUUGGUGUUUCCGUGUUUAAUUGCUACUUGUUAGAUAUUGUUUUCCUUUAAUGAAGGUAUUAGCUAUCCCGUAGUCUAUUUUUACCACAUUAUUGGUUUAAUUUGGUUUAUCAGUGUUUUAUUGUACAUUUUGGGUUGGUCUCGCUGUAUACUAUUGAGUGAUGUUUAAUAAUUUGUAGCUUUCUAUUAGCUUUAGUCUGAGGCUCAAAUAUUGUGGAGAGUUUUAAGCUAAAUUGUGAAAUUCCUGACCUUAUGAGUGAUUGGUACUGAUAUGGUGGAAUCGGAUUGCGCGCCGUAACAAUAGGAAUAAUGGUGAUAUAUUGAGGAGGAAUGAGGGUGAAAUGCUAUUAUUUGAAAGGAUCGGGUUGCACACCACAACAGGAGUAAUAAGGGUGGUAUGUUGAGGAGAAAUAAGGGUGAAUUACUAUUGUACGGUGGAAUAGGGUAGCACGCCACAACAUGAGAAAUAAGGGUGGAUCGAUAUGGAGUAAUAAGGGUGAAUAUUCAUACUGCUAUUGAUUAUAUGAUAGGAUUGAGAUGCAUGACGCAUUUAUGUGUUUAUAUAUCUUUCUUUGACUGUACAAGUUAUUCUGUAAUUUGGUUUUACACUUAAGGAUUGGUUAUAGCAAAGUACUGAUGAGAUACCGAAGUUCAAAAUUCUUUCCUUGCAAGUUACAAUUAUAUCUGCUCCAUUCUUCUUUUUUAUUUAUUAUGCACUAUAUGCAGGUUAUAUUGUAACUGCUCCACUGUAGCCUCAUCACUACCUUGUAGAGGUUAGGCUUGGCACUUACCAGUACAUGAGAUCGGUUGUACUGAUACUGUACUCUACACUUUCUAUGCAGAUUUCGGAGCAGGCAGUAGCUGAUUGAGAGAUUGGCUGUAGGUUUACAGUUUGGAGACCCAAGGUAGUCCUGCUGGCAUCCGCAGAACCUGACGUCCCCUCCUAUAUUUCUACGCUCCUAUUCUCUUUUCUUUCGAAACAGUUGUAAUUUCCUUCACACCAAUAUUUGUAGAAAAGUCUAGAAUGUUCAUGAGUUGUGACACCGGACUCUGAAUAAUGGUAGCUAUAAUAUUGAUUGUGAGCAGCUAAAUUUUUACCAUGUUUGAAUUUAUUUUCACUUUUUCCACUCACUUCCCAUUUCUCCCGCUUUCUCCGCUCACUUUUUACUUCCCCUGCUCACUACUCCACUCUCCAUUGUUCCCCACUCCUUGUCCACCACUUGUCCACCACCACAACCCUUACCCCUCCAUAAAACCCACACAAAAAAUAUACGCUAGAGAGGAGAGGAGCAUCCGCCGUUUACACAAGACCCUUUCCCCCCUCCCCCCCACAUAUUCUUCUUCGCACCACCCCAACAAGACUAGGAAUGACCCCUGCUUCUUGAUCUUCAACCUUCAGUCAUAACUCACAAAAACCUUACUUUAAACAAGAAAUAAACCCUCCCCCAUCUCAAAACAUGAGCAGUAGCACCUUCUUUUUCGUUCAAAACCAGCAGCAGCAGAUGCCUCUAACACUUGAUAACAGAGGUAAUUAUAUAACCGCUAAAAAUUAAAUCAUCAGUAAUCAUACUGGAGCUAAGAAUUAAAACAAGGAACCAAAAUCUGGUAUCCUAUAGAAGUCUUUUAAUAAUGAUCUCCCAACUAACAGAAAUCAAGGAACCAAAAUAUUUCAUGCUACAGCCUACAAAAAAAUAUUGGCAAGAAAACACUUACUUUAUCACUAUUGCUAUAGAAACUAUCUUAUUCUAUCAAAUGCCGUCCAUUUUAAAUCCAAUAAAAAAAUUAUAGAAACAAAUAGGUACUAGCUUUGUAUGUGUUAUCAAAUCAGCAAAAAAGAUAAACUAAAUUCAUCUCAAUCAGCAAGAGAACUUCAAAUAAAAAUAUGAAACACUAGAACCAAACCCGUCCUUGACUAGUUUAUCUAUGAACUUAUUUGAGUUAUGCAAAUAAAUCAAAAGGUUUAUAUCAUUAGAUUUAAAAUGAUACCUGGACUCUUUGGAAUAAAUCAACCAAAUUGGAAUUACAAGAGGCUAAACAACUCGGCGACUCUUGACCGGAGCAUUGGCCGAUGAAUCCGGACGGAACCCGACAACUCGGGGCCUCAAUGGCAACCUUAGAGUUAGAUCUAGCCCGAAACUUAUCCUCAAUGUUUAAUCCAUCUCUGUUUUGUAAUUUAUUGAAGCUUUUGGCCAAGAAAGUGAUAGAGGACUGUGAUGGUCGUCGCUGCUAAGGCGGAGACAGUUUGGUUCUUGAAGGAUAAGGCAACUUUCUGAUUUUGAUUAAGGCGGCAACAACAACAAUAACAACUACCCAGUAAUGUCCUACAAAGUAGUGUUUGGGGAGGGUAAUAUGUAGACGAGUUUACCCCUACCCGAAAAGGCAGAGAGGCUGUUUCCAGUCGACCCUCGGCUCAAUGAAGGAUAU
rnacentral:lncRNA from 1 species